UACAGAGGGGGCAAGCGUUGUUCGGAAUUACUGGGCGUAAAGGGCGCGUAGGCGGCCCGCUAAGUCGAACGUGAAAUCCCCGAGCUCAACUCGGGAACUGCGUCCGAUACUGGCGGGCUUGAAUCCGGGAGAGGGAUGCGGAAUUCCACGUGUAGCAGUGAAAUGCGUAGAGAUGUGGAGGAACACCGAUGGCGAAGGCAGCCCCCUGGGUCAAGACUGACGCUCAUGCACGAAAGCGUGGGGAGCAAACAGG
rnacentral:rRNA from 1 species